UUGUUUUCUAAAGGUACUACCUUAACAGGAGCAAGAUAGCUCAUCUGCCUGUCCUUUGAAUUGCAUCGACAUCACAACUAUGAAUUAAAGCUUGAGGUCUCUAGGACUCCUAAACAGGAAGUGGAAACAUAUUCAGAAAGAAGUUGGAAAAAAAUUUAGCAUUUACUUGAUACUUUCACAAACACUAGAGGAAGAAAACAUCCCUCAAACGUAGCUCAGCACACCUCCUUUACUUGCUUCAGUUAGUAAAAUAAAGUAGAAAUUCUCCUGCAUUAUUGACAACCUUUCUGAGAUAUGUUUUGGUCUUUCAGGGUUAGCCUUAGGCAAAAUUGUGAAAUAUUGAGAAUUAUUCUUGUGGAUGUUGUAUUAGUGCAUCUCUUAACUUUCACAUUGCCAAUCCACUGUAUCCAAAGGUCCAACUUUUUAGCUCCUCAUUUUUAUCUUCCUGGCCAGUGUGCCAUACUUUGCAACUUUCUCUUCGUUCUCCCUCCUUCCCUCAUCAACGGCUCUGUUUAAUCUGAUUACCAAACUCAAACUAGUUAGGAAGCGCUAAUUGGUUGAUGUAUUGCCCUUUCAGGAAAUGUAUUUCUCUUUAAACCAGGGGCUAUCUCUUCACUCAAGAAUAUGACUUUAAUGAUCUUCCUGUUUAAGGCUUUACAGGUUAUUUUUUGUAAUCAAGGAAGAACAAAGCAUUUCAGUUUGAAAUAACAAAGACAUCUUAGGAAUGAUAAAUUCAAAAUCACUCAGUCUUGUGGAAAAGAAGACUAUGAUUUGGCAAAUGUAUUAAAUCCAGCCUCUAACAAAAGACGUGACACAUAUCCUGAUGACACAUAAUCAAGUUUGUCACUUCAGACACGUCAUGAGUAAUCAAAGACAUGGUGGCAAGGUGGUAAGGAAAAUAAAAUCCAAGUCCUUUUUUGGAAUAUCAGUGAGCCCAAAAGAAAACAAACAUGGCCAGUACCCGUUGCAGGAUGCCGUCAUCAAGGCCAGUUGUGAACAUUUCUCCUGGGUGGCAGUCAGAGCACAGUUCAUGUUCCACAAUCGGGUGCUUUUCCGGAACCAAAAUCCACAAUGUGCUUAUUCUAAUGUGGUAGGAUCUGGUGGUUUGGAAAAGGAGGCCGCUUUGGAGAAUCUAGUCCACCAAAGGGUAGAAGGAGAAGUCCCUUGCUUAAAACUCCAGAUCCAAGAUUCCUUAAUGAGAGUUAAAUGUUCUUUAUUCCCUGCCCCUUCUCUCUAAUUUUCUCCUACAACUUAAGCAUAAGUAGGCAUGAAACAGUUACAUAGCAAAAUCUCCGGGAGUCAAUAACCAGCCUGGAUAAAUUGAGCGAGAUUAUCCUUGUUCAGUGUGGAACAUUCGGCUUGUCAAUAGUAAGUGCUUUAUAAAUAGCAGCUGUUAUCUAAGCAUAGUAUUAUUAUUAACAAUAAUAUCUUCUGCAGCUGUGGGUUGGGCAGUGAGGUACUGUUUUGGUUUUUAGAGACAGUCAGCAACCGUAUUUUUGUUAAAUAAAGAAUGGUCUUCCAGUCAACUCACAGUCUAGAAGAUACUGUUUUCACCUAAAGCUGUGGAACUCAGUAAGACAGGGACUUCUAGCAGAUAAUAACAGAACCACUUUGCACUGGAGGAGAGCAUGAAGGGUAGAGCUGAAGUUCUACAGUGAAGGACCAUCAGCGGUCAUCCCCGGACCUUACGCUGAAGCCCUCCUUUGAGUCCCAUGUGGGCGUGCCGUACGCCUGUGUGUUUGUGAAGGGUUCCUUUGUUACAUCUUUGCACAUUUUCAAACACGUUGCUACCGCUUUAGGAAUAUUUAUUCUUAGAACUUGAAUGUUGUUCUUUACUUCUCCUGAUGUAAUAUGUUCAUCUAUGACAUUUUAAAACUGGAAAUAGCCGGAGCAUUUUCCUAUGUUAAUUUUUUCACAUUUCUGCACUGACCUAAUUGUUCUAACUUUUUGAGUUAAUUUUCCUGUGUUUUCCUUGUAUAUUUUCUUUUUAUCUGCAAACA
rnacentral:lncRNA from 1 species